GUUUCCCUAGUGUAGCGGUUAUCACGUUCGCCUAACACGAGAAAGGUCGCUGGUUCGAAACCAGGGGGAAACA
rfam:Loxodonta africana unplaced genomic scaffold scaffold_108, whole genome shotgun sequence.